GAUGAACGCUGGCGGCGUGCCUAAUACAUGCAAGUCGAGCGAAUGGAUUAAGAGCUUGCUCUUAUGAAGUUAGCGGCGGACGGGUGAGGAACACGUGGGUAACCUGCCCAUAAGACUGGGAUAACUCCGGGAAACCGGGGCUAAUACCGGAUAACAUUUUGAACCGCAGGGUUCGAAAUUGAAAGGCGGCUUCGGCUGUCACUUAUGGAUGGACCCGCGUCGCAUUAGCUAGUUGGUGAGGUAACGGCUCACCAAGGCAACGAUGCGUAGCCGACCUGAGAGGGUGAUCGGCCACACUGGGACUGGGACACGGCCCAGACUCCUACGGGAGGCAGCAGUAGGGAAUCUUCCGCAAUGGACGAAAGUCUGACGGAGCAACGCCGCGUGAGUGAUGAAGGCUUUCGGGUCGUAAAACUCUGUUGUUAGGGAAGAACAAGUGCUAGUUGAAUAAGCUGGCACCUUGACGGUACCUAACCAGAAAGCCACGGCUAACUACGUGCCAGCAGCCGCCGUAA
rnacentral:rRNA from 1 species